rnacentral:rRNA from 1 species
CAGUCGCCGCGGUAAAACGAAGGGGGCUAGCGUUGUUCGGAAUUACUGGGCGUAAAGCGCACGUAGGCGGAUAUUUAAGUCAGGGGUGAAAUCCCGCAGCUCAACUGCGGAACUGCCUUUGAUACUGGGUAUCUUGAGUAUGGAAGAGGUUAGUGGAAUUGCGAGUGUAGAGGUGAAAUUCGUAGAUAUUCGCAGGAACACCAGUGGCGAAGGCGGCUAACUGGUCCAUAACUGACGCUGAGGUGCGAAAGCGUGGGGAGCAAACAGGAUUAGAUACCCCAGUAGUCCCUGUCUCUUAUAC